rnacentral:lncRNA from 1 species
AAAACAUAGAAACGGAACACAAAACAUAAAAUAAGCAAACAAUGAAAUGUGACAGUGCAUUAGGAUCAAAUCAAAAACACUAAAUUGGAAACUUCAAAGACAAACAUAUAAAAAACUGUCAUAUGAAAACUGAAGAGAAUCAUCUAAAUACUAAUUUCCAAGUGUAAAUUUGGAAUUUAGAAAAACAGUAAAGGAUUAUACAAUUCAUCACAAUUUCAACUAAUUAUUAGUUGAAUUUCAAUAAGAUAGUUUGUCCAAAGCCCUCAGAUCUCAUAGCUUAACAAAUCAUCUGCGGUUUUCUUCACAGGUUUCAUUCACAACCUUCAAGCAAUAAUUCCAUUCCAUUCACAAACACACACACACACACACACAGAGAAAGAGAGAUAGUGACAUAGGAAGAGAGAGAGAGAGAGAGAGAGACGCAUAUCAGGUUGUGAACAAAACCGUGUAACCGUUCAAUGCUUUUAUUGAUACAUCACUGAGCAGGACAACAAACAAUUAACAAAAUUAUCGUUAUCAAUGUUAAAUAACCUUGAAUUUUUACAGUUUUGAUUUUGAGUUACUGUUAAUUUAAUGAUGAAAAACCCUAAAAUUUUCAGUUUUAAUUCUGACUUAAUUUAAUGUUAAAAAACCUAUUUUUCAGUUCUGAUUUAAAGUUACUAGUAAAACAAGUACAAUGUAACUAACAUAUUCACCAUAUAUAAGAGAAACAAAAACUUGAAUUUUGCAAAAUCGCCUUUGAAAUAUAAGUUACAUAUAAGUCAAAUACACAAAAAUAACAUCACUACACAUUAAACACGUUAAUAAAAUUUUAUUACAGUUUGAUUCCGAGUUAUCAAUUUAAAUUUAAUGUUAAGAACAAAGGAAAUACAAAUUAGAAUGUAAGAAAGAAAUAAACAAGGCAAUGGUGCACAUGACUAUAAACAAACCAAUGUAGCCACUCAAUAGUUUAUUUUUCCAUCAUUGGGCAGAAAAAACAAACAAGGCAUAAGAUAUUGGCUUUAAGUAUCAGAAUUUCAAGUUCAUUGGUUCAAGACUAUUUAUUUGAAGUUUUAAAACAGAAAAAAUAUUACAGAACCCCACUGGAAAAAUUCAAAUGGAUCGGAACAUAUGUAAACCAAAAGUACAGCUUUUCAGAAAAGAAAAGAUGGAAGUUAAAAAACCAAGAAAUUCCACCACAAUUUAAAACAAAUGCUGAAACGGCAACUUAAAAAGGAAGAUUAAUGAAAAAUAUAUAAAUUAGAUCAGAUAAAGUUUUCAAGGCUACGCAUUUCCAUCAAUAGCGCAGUAUUAAACUGCUCAGAGCCCAGUGCAUGUCAUCACAUCUUACACACCCAUAGAACACUUCAAUCUUAUUAAAGAAACACAGUUUAACUUCAAAUAAAAUUUCACCACAUUCACGAGUAAAUUUUUUUUGAAAUUAUCUUAAUUCGAUUGACAUUCAAUGAAGGAAUAAAUGGAAUCAUGGAGGGAUCUUGAAUCGAAGGCAUCAAAGAACUUGGUAUUAAGAGUUUAGGGUCAGAUUAAGCUUUCUAGGCUACACAUUUCCAUCAAAAAGUACAGUAAUAAACUGCUCAGAGCCCAGUGCAUAUAUCAUCAUUCACUAAAACUAAAAACAAUCAACAAAACAUAGAAACGGAACACAAAACAUAAAAUAAGCAAACAAUGAAAUGUGACAGUGCAUUAGGAUCAAAUCAAAAACACUAAAUUGGAAACUUCAAAGACAAACAUAUAAAAAACUGUCAUAUGAAAACUGAAGAGAAUCAUCUAAAUACUAAUUUCCAAGUGUAAAUUUGGAAUUUAGAAAAACAGUAAAGGAUUAUACAAUUCAUCACAAUUUCAACUAAUUAUUAGUUGAAUUUCAAUAAGAUAGUUUGUCCAAAGCCCUCAGAUCUCAUAGCUUAACAAAUCAUCUGCGGUUUUCUUCACAGGUUUCAUUCACAACCUUCAAGCAAUAAUUCCAUUCCAUUCACAAACACACACACACACACACACACAGAAAGAGAGAUAGUGACAUAGGAAGAGAGAGAGAGAGAGAGAGAGAGAGAGAGAGAGACGCAUAUCAGGGUGUGAACAAAACCGUGUAACGGUUCAAUGCUUUUAUUGAUACAUCACUGAGCAGGACAACAAACAAUUAACAAAAUUAUCGUUAUCAAUGUUAAAUAACCUUGAAUUUUUACAGUUUUGAUUUUGAGUUACUGUUAAUUUAAUGAUGAAAAACCCUAAAAUUUUCAGUUUUAAUUCUGACUUAAUUUAAUGUUAAAAAACCUAUUUUUCAGUUCUGAUUUAAAGUUACUAGUAAAACAAGUACAAUGUAACUAACAUAUUCACCAUAUAUAAGAGAAACAAAAACUUGAAUUUUGCAAAAUCGCCUUUGAAAUAUAAGUUACAUAUAAGUCAAAUACACAAAAAUAACAUCACUACACAUUAAACACGUUAAUAAAAUUUUAUUACAGUUUGAUUCCGAGUUAUCAAUUUAAAUUUAAUGUUAAGAACAAAGGAAAUACAAAUUAGAAUGUAAGAAAGAAAUAAACAAGGCAAUGGUGCACAUGACUAUAAACAAACCAAUGUAGCCACUCAAUAGUUUAUUUUUCCAUCAUUGGGCAGAAAAAACAAACAAGGCAUAAGAUAUUGGCUUUAAGUAUCAGAAUUUCAAGUUCAUUGGUUCAAGACUAUUUAUUUGAAGUUUUAAAACAGAAAAAAUAUUACAGAACCCCACUGGAAAAAUUCAAAUGGAUCGGAACAUAUGUAAACCAAAAGUACAGCUUUUCAGAAAAGAAAAGAUGGAAGUUAAAAAACCAAGAAAUUCCACCACAAUUUAAAACAAAUGCUGAAACGGCAACUUAAAAAGGAAGAUUAAUGAAAAAUAUAUAAAUUAGAUCAGAUAAAGUUUUCAAGGCUACGCAUUUCCAUCAAUAGCGCAGUAUUAAACUGCUCAGAGCCCAGUGCAUGUCAUCACAUCUUACACACCCAUAGAACACUUCAAUCUUAUUAAAGAAACACAGUUUAACUUCAAAUAAAAUUUCACCACAUUCACGAGUAAAUUUUUUUUGAAAUUAUCUUAAUUCGAAUGACAUUCAAUGAAGGAAUAAAGGGAAUCAUGGAGGGAUCUUGAAUCGAAGGCAUCAAAGAACUUGGUAUUAAGAGUUUAGGGUCAGAUUAAGCUUUCUAGGCUACACAUUUCCAUCAAAAAGUACAGUAAUAAACUGCUCAGAGCCCAGUGCAUAUAUCAUCAUUCACUAAGACUAAAAACAAUCAACAAAACAUAGAAACGGAACACAAAACAUAAAAUAAGCAAACAAUGAAAUGUGACAGUGCAUUAGGAUCAAAUCAAAAACACUAAAUUGGAAACUUCAAAGACAAACAUAUAAAAAACUGUCAUAUGAAAACUGAAGAGAAUCAUCUAAAUACUAAUUUCCAAGUGUAAAUUUGGAAUUUAGAAAAACAGUAAAGGAUUAUACAAUUCAUCACAAUUUCAACUAAUUAUUAGUUGAAUUUCAAUAAGAUAGUUUGUCCAAAGCCCUCAGAUCUCAUAGCUUAACAAAUCAUCUGCGGUUUUCUUCACAGGUUUCAUUCACAACCUUCAAGCAAUAAUUCCAUUCCAUUCACAAACACACACACACACACACACAGAGAAAGAGAGAUAGUGACAUAGGAAGAGAGAGAGAGAGAGAGAGAGACGCAUAUCAGGUUGUGAACAAAACCGUGUAACCGUUCAAUGCUUUUAUUGAUACAUCACUGAGCAGGACAACAAACAAUUAACAAAAUUAUCGUUAUCAAUGUUAAAUAACCUUGAAUUUUUACAGUUUUGAUUUUGAGUUACUGUUAAUUUAAUGAUGAAAAACCCUAAAAUUUUCAGUUUUAAUUCUGACUUAAUUUAAUGUUAAAAAACCUAUUUUUCAGUUCUGAUUUAAAGUUACUAGUAAAACAAGUACAAUGUAACUAACAUAUUCACCAUAUAUAAGAGAAACAAAAACUUGAAUUUUGCAAAAUCGCCUUUGAAAUAUAAGUUACAUAUAAGUCAAAUACACAAAAAUAACAUCACUACACAUUAAACACGUUAAUAAAAUUUUAUUACAGUUUGAUUCCUAGUUAUCAAUUUAAAUUUAAUGUUAAGAACAAAGGAAAUACAAAUUAGAAUGUAAGAAAGAAAUAAAA